rnacentral:rRNA from 1 species
GGUGAUUAGUGGCGAACGGGUGAGUAACACGUGAGUAACCUGCCCUUGACUCUGGGAUAAGCCUGGGAAACUGGGUCUAAUACCGGAUAUGACCUUCCAUCGCAUGGUGGUUGGUGGAAAGCUUUUGUGGUUUUGGAUGGACUCGCGGCCUAUCAGCUUGUUGGUGGGGUAAUGGCCUACCAAGGCGACGACGGGUAGCCGGCCUGAGAGGGUGACCGGCCACACUGGGACUGAGACACGGCCCAGACUCCUACGGGAGGCAGCAGUGGGGAAUAUUGCACAAUGGGCGCAAGCCUGAUGCAGCGACGCCGCGUGAGGGAUGACGGCCUUCGGGUUGUAAACCUCUUUCAGUAGGGAAGAAGCCGUGAGGUGACGGUACCUGCAGAAGAAGCGCCGGCUAACUACGUGCCAGCAGCCGCGGUAAUACGUAGGGCGCAAGCGUUAUCCGGAAUUAUUGGGCGUAAAGAGCUCGUAGGCGGUUUGUCGCGUCUGCCGUGAAAGUCCGGGGCUCAACUCCGGAUCUGCGGUGGGUACGGGCAGACUAGAGUGAUGUAGGGGAGACUGGAAUUCCUGGUGUAGCGGUGAAAUGCGCAGAUAUCAGGAGGAACACCGAUGGCGAAGGCAGGUCUCUGGGCAUUAACUGACGCUGAGGAGCGAAAGCAUGGGGAGCGAACAGGAUUAGAUACCCUGGUAGUCCAUGCCGUAAACGUUGGGCACUAGGUGUGGGGGACAUUCCACGUUUUCCGCGCCGUAGCUAACGCAUUAAGUGCCCCGCCUGGGGAGUACGGCCGCAAGGCUAAAACUCAAAGGAAUUGACGGGGGCCCGCACAAGCGGCGGAGCAUGCGGAUUAAUUCGAUGCAACGCGAAGAACCUUACCAAGGCUUGACAUGGACCGGACCGCCGCAGAAAUGUGGUUUCCCCUUUUGGGGCUGGUUUACAGGUGGUGCAUGGUUGUCGUCAGCUCGUGUCGUGAGAUGUUGGGUUAAGUCCCGCAACGAGCGCAACCCUCGUUCUAUGUUGCCAGCACGUGAUGGUGGGGACUCAUAGGAGACUGCCGGGGUCAACUCGGAGGAAGGUGGGGACGACGUCAAAUCAUCAUGCCCCUUAUGUCUUGGGCUUCACGCAUGCUACAAUGGCCGGUACAAAGGGUUGCGAUACUGUGAGGUGGAGCUAAUCCCAAAAAGCCGGUCUCAGUUCGGAUUGGGGUCUGCAACUCGACCCCAUGAAGUCGGAGUCGCUAGUAAUCGCAGAUCAGCAACGCUGCGGUGAAUACGUUCCCGGGCCUUGUACACACCGCCCGUCAAGUCACGAAAGUUGGUAACACCCGAAGC